UACGGGGGGGGCAAGCGUUGUUCGGAAUUACUGGGCGUAAAGGGCUCGUAGGCGGCCAACUAAGUCAGACGUGAAAUCCCUCGGCUUAACCGGGGAACUGCAUCUGAUACUGGAUGGCUUGAGUUCGGGAGAGGGAUGCGGAAUUCCAGGUGUAGCGGUGAAAUGCGUAGAUAUCUGGAGGAACACCGGUGGCGAAGGCGGCGUCCUGGACCAACACUGACACUGAGGAGCGAAAGCCAGGGGAGCAAACGGG
rnacentral:rRNA from 1 species